rnacentral:rRNA from 1 species
UGGCGGACGGGUGAGUAAUGUCUGGGAAACUGCCUGAUGGAGGGGGAUAACUACUGGAAACGGUAGCUAAUACCGCAUAACGUCGCAAGACCAAAGAGGGGGACCUUCGGGCCUCCUGCCAUCGGAUGUGCCCAGAUGGGAUUAGCUAGUAGGUGGGGUAACGGCUCACCUAGGCGACGAUCCCUAGCUGGUCUGAGAGGAUGACCAGCCACACUGGAACUGAGACACGGUCCAG